rnacentral:rRNA from 4 species
UUUGUACACACCGCCCGUCACACCAUGGGAGUGGGUUGCAAAAGAAGUAGGUAGCUUAACCUUCGGGAGGGCGCUUACCACUUUGUGAUUCAUGACUGGGGUGAAGUCGUAACAAGGUAACCGUAGGGGAACCUGCGGUUGGAUCACCUCCUUA